UCUUUUUGUUUUGAGAUUGCGCGUACGAAGUGAACAUUGUUUAAACUUCCCUAUGUUCUUCAAAAACUAGAUAAUAUCUGUGUUAAUUGUUAUAAAGAUUGUGUUAAAACGUGACUGUGUAACACCAAAUGUGUUUGUUUUCUUAAGCGCAACUCUUUAAUUCAAAAUUAAUAACAUUAUUCCUAAGCUCUAUCAACUCAUCCAAAUAAGAUUCUAAUCAUUCCGGAUUCAUAAUCUGUCAAAAAUUAGUUCGAAUAGUACAAGAUUCAUUCAUAGUGCUGGAAAUAGAUCAUCGAGUGAAAAACGAAAGUUGGAGAUCCUUUCUGGAAUCUGUUGGUAAAAAAAAUAUUUCAUCGGGCCGCACGAACCAAGAGGCGUUAAAAGUUGAAUUUAAGCUCAGUACAGGACACAUUGGCCGACAUAUUACGCUGCAACCGAAAUCUAACCAUAUUGAGCUUUGAAAGCACAGAGGUGCAUGGAAGAUUUUCCGAUAUCAUACCCCAGUGCAGAAAUCUUCAAGAACUGAGAAUCAAGUUGAAUGAAGGAUACGAUGCUGCCCAAUAUGCGCCACUAGUGAACUUGCUCAAUUUGAAAACCAUUUUAAUUACUGGUUUACAUGAAAGCGGUGCGGAAUGGAAGUUUUUCAGCAACUUAAGAGUCUUCAACCGUUAGAACAAUGAAUCAAAGAUUAACUGACAUUGAUCGACCUAUAACGUUUGCCACUUUCAAUUCACUACUACAUAAGUUGAUGAUGAACUUAUGAAAAUAAAUUCACUUCAAUUGCUAGAUGCCGCUUAAUCUAAGUGCCUGAUAUCAACUUUAGUCAAAUGAAUAACUUGCAGUACAUGCAAAUCCAUUUCCUCGGAAACAUUGAUCCUAUAAACUCAAAUGUUAUUGAAAUUUGCUAAGCAUAUGCCAGAUGAAGGCAACAAUAUUAAGCGAUGCUUUGUCAAUUAUCCUAUGGAAGAAUGAAAAACGUCUAGAGAUUCAUCUGUUCAAUUGUGAAACACCCUUGAAUUAUCCUAAUACACUCUUAGAUGCUUUUGCAGCCAAAUAAGUAUGAUCGAAGAAUUGUAUAUAUUCGGUAUAUACCUACCACUCAGUUCAGAUCUAAACAAACUAGAGAACUUGGAAAUACACUAUAUAUACACUAUAAUUUUAAAUAUUUUGCGCAGCUAGCAAACUCAAGUGUUGAAAAACUUAUUGUUUUAAAUUCUACUCACUCAGUGCGAGACAACCCGACAGUAUUUUCUACGAUGAGAAGAAGUACAUUCCAUGGCCCUAUGAGAUGGCUCAAGCAACUUAACCUAAUGGAAACCGUUGACGUUACUAAAAUAACAGGGCUGAAAAGAUU